CCUACGGGAGGCAGCAGUGAGGAAUAUUGGUCAAUGGACGAGAGUCUGAACCAGCCAAGUAGCGUGAAGGAUGACUGCCCUCUGGGUUGUAAACUUCUUUUAUAUGGGAAUAAACUGUUCCACGUGUGGGAUUUUGUAUGUACCAUAUGAAUAAGGAUCGGAUAACUCCGUGCCAGCAGCCGCGGUACUACGGAGGAUCCGAGCGUUAUCCGGAUUUAUUGGGUUUAAAGGGAGCGUAGGUGGAUUGUUAAGUCAGUUGUGAAAGUUUGCGGCUCAACCGUAAAAUUGCAGUUGAAACUGGCAGUCUGGAGUACAGUAGAGGUGAGCGGAAUUCGUGGUGUAGCGGUGAAAUGCGUAGAUAUCACGAAGAACUCCGAUUGCGAAGGCAGCUCACUGGACUGCAACUGACACUGAGGCUCGAAAGUGUGGGUAUCAAACAGGAUUAGAUACCCUAGUAGUC
rnacentral:rRNA from 1 species